rnacentral:rRNA from 1 species
GUCGAGCGGAUGAGUGGAGCUUGCUCCAUGAUUCAGCGGCGGACGGGUGAGUAAUGCCUAGGAAUCUGCCUGGUAGUGGGGGACAACGUUUCGAAAGGAACGCUAAUACCGCAUACGUCCUACGGGAGAAAGUGGGGGAUCUUCGGACCUCACGCUAUCAGAUGAGCCUAGGUCGGAUUAGCUAGUUGGUGAGGUAAAGGCUCACCAAGGCGACGAUCCGUAACUGGUCUGAGAG